rnacentral:rRNA from 1 species
UACGGAAGGGGCUAGCGUUGUUCGGAAUCACUGGGCGUAAAGCGCGCGUAGGCGCCGGUCAAGUGCGGCGUGAAAGUCCUGGGCUCAACCCGGGACGGCGCGUGCGGACUGUCUGGCUGGAGUCCGGAAGAGGGUGGUGGAAUUCCGAGUGUAGAGGUGAAAUUCGUAGAUAUUCGGAGGAACACCGGUGGCGAAGGCGGCCACCUGGUC